ensembl:snRNA U4 U4 spliceosomal RNA
AGCUUUGCACAGUGGCAGUAUCGUAGCCAAUGAGGUUUAUCCGAGGUGCGAUUAUUGCUAAUUGGAAGGUUCAUUGGAGCACAGUUUGGUAUCAGCCUGCCUGAGAUCAUACACGUACUGGCUAUAUGAGUGAGGUAAAGAUAAAAAUCU